CGGAGGGUGCAAGCGUUAUCCGGAUUUACUGGGUUUAAAGGGUGUGUAGGCGGAUAUUUAAGUCAGAGGUGAAAUCUCCGGGCUCAACCCGGAAACUGCCUUUGAUACUAUUUAUCUUGAAUUUUGUUGAGGUUGGCAGAAUAUAUCAUGUAGCGGUGAAAUGCAUAGAUAUGAUAUAGAAUACCGAUUGCGUAGGCAGCUGGCUGAACAACGAUUGACGCUGAGGCACGAAAGCGUGGGUAGCGAACAGGAUUAGAUACCCUGGUAGUCCACGCCCUAAACGAUGAUUACUCGACAUACGCGAUACACAGUGUGUGUCUGAGCGAAAGCAUUAAGUAAUCCACCUGGGAAGUACGUCCGCAAGGAUG
rnacentral:rRNA from 1 species